UACGGGGGGGGCAAGCGUUGUUCGGAAUUACUGGGCGUAAAGGGUUUGUAGGUGGCUUGCUAAGUCAGACGUGAAAUCCCUCAGCUUAACUGGGGAACUGCGUCUGAGACUGGCAAGCUCGAGUGCAGGAGAGGAACGCGGAAUUCCAGGUGUAGCGGUGAAAUGCGUAGAUAUCUGGAGGAACACCGGUGGCGAAGGCGGCAUCCUGGACCGGCAUUGACGCUGAGGAGCGAAAGCCAGGGGAGCAAACGGG
rnacentral:rRNA from 1 species